GGGAGCAUUUUGGGGGAGGGGAGGGGACAACGUGAGGAGACAGGCGGGCUGUGCUUCUAUCUAAGAGAUUGUAACAAUAAACACACCAGUGCGACUGGGCUAGUAGCUUCUAUUAUACUCAGUACUGUAGAACAAAAAUGCAUGGGAGUCAAAACUAUACUCGUCUGGGUGUGUGCGGAUGGCUCUGUCUGUGUGUGUGUGUGUGAGUGUGUGUGCAUUUUUUUCUGUCCAAGUGUGCGUCUUUAAAAGAAGAGAGGGGCGAGUUAAAGCUGGAAUGUACUGUGGUCGAGUGUUUGUUUACCUACUCCAGCAGUUCUCACGCUCUUCCACAUGCAGGUAACACAACUCUUCCACUCCUGUGUGUGUAGUUACCUGGGCCCCCUCCUUCCAUCCCUCCCUCCCUCCUUCCCGUCGCCAGUCCAAGAAUACCUGUGCGCACCUGUGUCUGCACCUCAUCUAAACCUGCUACCUGUGUGUUUGCGUAUGCAUGAGUGCUUCACCUUGAUAUUUCACAGCAGACUCUUGUGUACACUGACUAGCCUGUCGACGCGAGUGUGUGUGUGUGCGUGUGUUUCUGCGUGCGUGAGGGUGUGUUUAGUCUGUUCAAUGCUGAAUGUGGGGCGGCUCGUCCCUCACAGUGGCUAUCACACACACUGACCGUGUCUUUUCACUGUCUGUCUGACUUGUCUACCUGUCUGUCUGCCGCAGGACAGAUGGACAGACAACACGCCACUUUCUCACAGGCAGGAAUGAUAUAAACACGUACUGUCUUUUCUAAAAGUGACUGUCAAAGUGUAAACGUGUGCGUUUGUAGCCAUUUAAGCCUGCGUAGCCAAAUAAGACGUGUGUGCGUGUCUGAGAGAAAGAGGGUAAAUUUGUAUGUGUGUGUGUGAGUGUUAGUGUGCAUGUUUGAGAGUGUGCGUGUGAGCGUGUGUUUGUGUGUGUGAAGCCCAGUGGAGGCUACACUACUCUAUGUUUGCUGUUCCCAUUCCUGUUUUUAUACAUUUGCAUUUUUUAAGGCUGAGUUUCUGUCAUUGGCUGAGUGAGCGAAAGGAGGCGGAUCCUCCACGCCACCGCCCUGUCACUAAUCUGCCACUCUGUUCCAAAUAAAAAACCUGAUUGGGU
ensembl:lncRNA